GUCUCUGAUUCAAAAUAUAAUUGUACUUGGGUUAAUUAAUUGUUGUCAUUGUACACAAAAUUAUUCAAUAAAAUCGUAUUAUCAAACUUCUCCAUGAGCGUGCUAAAAAUAAACUCUGACUAUUAUUCAUGAUACAAAAAAGUACCAUUAGAGACACACAUGCUAAUACUGCUAUUGGCAUGACUCAUGACUCAUGAUAAGUACUAAGUUUUUAAAUGCAACACUGCUUUUGGCAUAACUCAUGAUACUGCUAGUUUUUAUUUCUCAAAGCAAUGGCUAUCAACUUUGUUAGGAUUUAUUAACAAUCAGGUGUUGUUCUGAAUACUGAUCAGAUAAACAAAGAUAUCCAAGAUCCAAUUGUUAGUGCUUCUGAAUUAAUUUAUGAAGUAAACCUAUUUUCUAUCACCGUACAUACACUUUUGAUUCACAGUGCUCUUGUACAUAAUAAAUGGUCAUUCAGAUUCAAUGUUUCUUGCUAUACCUUCCAUCACAUCUGUCAUGAUCUGGGGGCCACUCUUGUUCCCAAUUUAGGUGAACAAAUUUAAUAACCAUAAUCUGGGUGAAUAUUUAAUGAAUUUAUCAUGAUCGCAAAUGCAGUACAUGUUGUGGCAUUGGUUGGGUGUCCAUGUCGUAUAAGCAUCAUAGUUGUGAUGUGAUUUUUCCAGAGUCAAAACUACUGCAUGGGACAAGAUCUCAAAUCUCAAAUAUCUACCAAAGCCAUGCCUAAAAACAAGAUCUAAAGCCACAGGAAGAAAAUAAGAAAACAAGAUCCAAAGCAAUACCUGA
rnacentral:lncRNA from 1 species